ACGUAGGAGGCAAGCGUUAUCCGGAGUUACUGGGCGUAAAGGGCGUGCAGGCGGUUGGCUAAGUUCGUUGUGAAAGCGCCCAGGCUUAACCGGGCGAGGACGUACCGAACUGCGGGACUAAAGGCAGGGAGAGGCGUGUGGAAUUCCGGGUGUAGUGGUGAAAUGCGUAGAGAUCCGGAGGAACACCAGAGGCGAAAGCGAUUUUCUGGAUCGUUUCUGACGCUCAGACGCGAAAGCUAGGGUAGCAAACGG
rnacentral:rRNA from 1 species